GUGCCUAGUAUAGGAACUCCCUGUCUCAUACUCUCCAAGGGGUGGGGCCCCUUCAUUCUUUUGCUAGGGUGAGGCAGGGACAGUCUCCCAGGGACACCGAAGUUGGAGAGGAGAUGGCAGGGCUCUAAACUUACUCAGAAACAGCUGUCAACCAGUUCUUCUGAUCCGAGCGCUCGGCUUCACCCCACUUCUGGAAGUACCCAGUGCCACCGAUUACUGACCCUUUGAGGAUUCUGUGAUGCUUCAUGCCCAGCGCAGAGCCUAACAGGGGCUUGAAUUCACGACCUUGAGAUCAAGACCUGAGCAAGAGUUGACGCUUAACUGACUGAGCCACCCAGGAGCCCCUCAAAGGUAUUUCUAACUGCAAGUUGUGGUCAAAAAGUUUUGGAAGCCACUGUCCAAGUUAGCCCCCUGGCUCCAUUCUUCCUCUGGCCUGAAGUACAGACUGUUGCCAAAUUAAUCUGAUUAACUCACUGAUUUCCCCAUGCCACUUCCUUGCUCAAAACCUUCAAAUUUCAAAAGCUUAAGCUCAAUGUCAGUCCCUCAGCAUGGCACUCAGAGUACUGACAGUGGGGCCCCAACUGCCAUCAACGAAGCCUCUACCCAAAUCACUACUUGCUAAACCCAAGCUGGUCUCCUGACCAUCCACCCCAAAUACUCUUGAUGCAUUCCGUCUCCACACACCUUUUCCACACUAUUCUUCUAAUGUGGACCCCUCGCCCCCCACUGUAACAAAUCACAUCCUCUGAAAUCUUUCUUGACGAUGCCACACCAACAUUUAUUGGCUGUCAUUCCUAUGAAUCCCGGGCACUUUCCAGACACUGGCUGAAGAUAAGUAUCGAUUCUUACAGCCUUCUGACUGUCCACCAGUAUUAAGUAUCAGCACAGGCCCUAGUACAUUAUAAAUGUUCAAUGAGCAUUAAAUCAACAAAAAUUUUAUUGAGCAUUA